UACAUGGGGUGCAAACGUUGCUCGGAAUCAUUGGGCGUAAAGCGCGCGUAGGCGGUUAUUUAAGUUGGAUGUGAAAGCCCUCGGCUUAACUGAGGAAGUGCAUCCAAAACUGAAUAGUUAGAGUACGAAAGAGGGUCGCGGAAUUCCCGGUGUAGAGGUGAAAUUCGUAGAUAUUGGGAAGAACACCGGUGGCGAAGGCGGCUCACUGGCUCGUAUCUGACGCUCAGGCGCGAUAGCGUGGGGAUCAAACAGG
rnacentral:rRNA from 1 species